GACCAGGUCUUAAAAUUCUUUUGCAACAAUUAUUACAGUACUCAACUGACAGGAUUCAAUAUGUAGGAGGCACUAAACACUUGAAAGAUUGAAAUGUUUCUUUUUUCUUUCAGACUUAUUGUCCAACUAACUCAUUCUCAUUUCAUGUGAAAACCCUAAACUGUCUUCAUUACUAGUUUAUAAGCAUAGAAGGAGCUGGAGAAUUCUGAGUAUCAAAAUGAAAUACCAAAGCACAUGCAUGACCAGACUGAAAGAUGGUUGUGUUCUGUACAGCGGCCAUGUUCUGAUGGAUUCUGGAAGACAGAGGGAUGAGACAGGCAGCUGCUGGAGUAUCUCCAACAGGUACAUUCACUGGGAGGAAAGUUGAAGAUACAGUAUUUAAGGACGUCGUUUGUAUUCAUGGAAGUGCUUUUUUUUAUGUUUCUCAUUACUGGAUAUGUUUUCUGCUGAAAAUAUUCUGUCAUCUUCCCCAAAGUGGGCAUUAUCUUAAAGCUGCAAUGAAAAGAGAUAAAGAACUGGAAAAAAAAUCUUUUUUUUUUCUUUUUGAGCAGGUUUGUACACUUCCAUUUUCUUCUCAUCCUCAGUCACUCAGAUGCCUUCUAAAAAUCUCAGAGAUUUAGGGACAGAUCACCUAAAGAGAAAUGCAGUUGAUCCCAUUGGUAUCAAGGAAUUUUCUAGAGAAAUGGUAUGUGGCAAAACAAUUCCAGGUAUUUUCUUGGAUGGGUUAACUUUAUAAAAAUGUAAUGUGUAUCCGACUUUCAUUAGCCCAGGCGCUAGGGAAAGGGCUUAGCUGUUCUUGCUGAUGCACUUUUAUCACUGAUGAAUAGGAUGGUGUGCAGGACAGGACCUGAUUUUUGGAGGCCCUGGUCAGGCUUUACCUUUGCUGGAAAGGGAGGCAACCACAACCAACCACUUCAUCUCUGGGCCUCAUCUUCUUCAUCCUGCGUGAUGGGGAAAAGGAUGUGGAUGUCUUCAAGGCACUUUCUGGUACUAGCCUUCAGCAAUUUUUGGUUCACCUCAAUUAUGGACAUAGUCAAAUGGCUGGUUCACCAAGUGAGGAAAAAACAAUCAUUCUUAUUUUAUGUGUAACUGGAUCUUCUGCUCACAACUUUUCUGAGAAUAAAUUUGUGAAUACCAGCA
rnacentral:lncRNA from 1 species